AUGAAGUGUCCACAACUAAGCAAGCCAGAGGCGACAGCGGCAAGGAACCAAAACUCCAUCGGUGACAGAAUGGAGAAAAAAACCUUGGGAGAAACCAGGCUCAGUCCCGGUGGUCGUCUGAGACAAGGUCUUUACAGGGGAUCUGUCUCUGGGGCUCUAGUUGUCCUGGUCUCCGCUGUCUUUCAGGGCUGUAGAGGUCCUUUCUAGGUGCUGAUCUACCAUCUGGGCUGGAUACAUACUGGAUCCGGGUGACUGCAGUGACCCUCUGACUUGGAUACAGUUUGGAUCUGGUGGCUACGGUGACCUCGGAAUAAGAGAGAAAUAGACUAAUAUGAGUGUAGAUGCCAUUCUUCUAAUGAUGUAACAAGUACAUCGGGUGUUAUGGGAAGUGUUCCCGGUUCCGGUUUACCUAAUUAAUGCAGCCUAAAAAUCCUUUAACGGAUUUGGAUAUUAGAAGUGUAUUAGUAUGUUAUGUGUAAGCCAGGUUAAAGAGAUGGGUCUUUAAUCUAGAUUUAAACUGCAAGAGUGUGUUUGCCUCCCGAAGAAUGUUAGGUAGGGUAGGUUAUUCCAGAGUUUGGGCGCUAAAUAGGAGAAGGAUCUGCCGCCCGCAGUUGACUUAGAUAUUCUAGGUAUUAUCAAGUUGCAGUGGGAGAAAUAUCUUCUCUUAAGGCUCCCUCUUUGCCAUCCAAACCCUUUCAAGAUACACUUUGUUUGAAUGGCAGAGCAUACACAGCAGUGGGUCAGGCUGCAGCUGCACUGCAGCCAUGGCGGUCCUCCAAGCUUACCAGGUUGAUCUGCUGAAAGACAUGGAUAAGGAUCAGGGUCUUUCCCCUGAUGAGUAGCUGAGCUGAGUCGCACCAAAGAUCUCGCCCUCUACGCCAUGAAACAGACCGCUGCUUCCAUUGGCAGGUCCAUGGUGGCCAUGGUGGUAAUGGAGAGGCAUCUCUGGGUGAACCUGGCUGAUAUCGGGUGAAAGAGAAGAGCUAUCUCCUCGAUGGGCCGGUGUCACCUUCUGAACUUUUCGCCACUUCCGUCAAGAUUGCGGUUGAGCAGUUUAAGGAGGCAAAGACUAGCUCUGCUGCCUUUUGAAUCCUUAAUUCAUUCAAGGUUCAGCUCUGAGCCCGAACAACAAGGGGGUCCUGGCCCAUCCCGAUGUAAGGACCAAUGAUGGGUUCAGAAGGGAAGUGUUGUGACUCUUGCUCCUCCCCCACCUGUGGGUAGGACUAGGAGGAGGUGUGAGUCAAAAGGUAAGAGGCACAACCUGAGGGAGGUGAUCAAGACAAGGAGCUCUCAGCGCUUCCAUCCGGACCAGAAUAAAACAUGAACAUCUACUUACUUCCUUCUGAGGUUUCUAACACCCUGCACUCGUCUUCCUAUUCCGAAUUCUCUGUGUGCAGUUGUAUCAGUUUGAAAGGCUUCCCUUCUGCCACAUUGCUGCCUUUCUGGUUGAGUUUGGCAGUGCUCCCCUCACUGUGUGAGGGUUACUUAUGAGCCUGCUGCUCCCAGAGCAAGCAUGUGAGUUUUCUUCUUGAUCUGAGCGCCUAGGAAUCCGCUCCCAGAGCUCCACGAGCAGUCAAGCCUGCCUGCAUGAGUUUGACAACGCCCCCUCACUGUGGGAGGGUCACCUAUAAGCCUGCCGCUCCCGGAAGGAGCAUGUAAGGUCUCCUCUCGAACCUCCCAAUCAGAGAACCAAGGACUCUGCUCCCGGAGCUCUGUGCACAGACAUACCAGGUUGUUAGGUCAUCUUUUUGCCUCCCUCUUAGGCUGCUCCUGUAAUUAAGCUUGGCAAUGCUCCCCUCACUCUAGAGGCAGCUAUACCAGGUUGUUAGGCCAUCUUUUCUCUUACUCAAAGAGUCGAGUACUCCACUCCCUAGAGCUCCAUGAUCAGAAUCAGAAUCAGACUCAGAAGAGCAUUAUUACCAAGUAUGUUUACACACAUACAAGGAAUUUGACUUGACGACAGGAGCUUCCAUUGUAGAAUAAAGUACAACAUAGUGCAGACAUACAUAGGAAUAACAAAGUAGGGAUGUAAUAUAAUACUAAUAUAUAAAAAAGGAAUCAAAAAAUUAAAUAAUUUACUAUAUAUACAGAAAUAGAAGUAUAGGAAAAAAAUAAAUAAAUAAAAAGAUAAUUGUUUAGAUAAAUGUACAGGUUAGGUUAAUUGUUUAGAUAAAUGUUAUUAGUGUGCAGAUAUGUUAUUUACAAAGUGUGCAGUUUAAUAUAAAUAUGUCAGAUAACUAUGUUAGCUGUGAUGGACGUUGUAAGAUUAAUUGUUCAGGUUGAAUAAAGCCUGUGGGAAAAAAAAACUGUUUUGUGCCUCACUGUUCUGGUGGUCAGUGCUCUGUAGCGCCGACCAGAAGGCAACAAUUGGAAGAGAGAGUGGGCUGGGUGUGAGGGGUCCAAGG
ensembl:lncRNA